GAUGAACGCUGGCGGCGUGCCUAAUACAUGCAAGUCGAGCGAAUGGAUUAAGAGCUUGCUCUUAUGAAGUUAGCGGCGGACGGGUGAGUAACACGUGGGUAACCUGCCCAUAAGACUGGGAUAACUCCGGGAAACCGGGGCUAAUACCGGAUAACAUUUUGAACCGCAUGGUUCGAAAUUGAAAGGCGGCUUCGGCUGUCACUUAUGGAUGGACCCGCGUCGCAUUAGCUAGUUGGUGAGGUAACGGCUCAUCAAGGCAACGAUGCCUAGCCGGACUGAGAGGGUGAUCGGCCACACUGGGACUGAGACACGGCCCAGACUCCUACGGGAGGCAGCAGUAGGGAAUCUUACGCAAUGGACGAAAGUCUGACGGAGCAACGCCGCGUGAGUGAUGAAGGCUUUUGGGUCGUAAAACUCUGUUGUUAGGGAAGAACAAGUGCUAGUUGAAUAAGCUGGCACCUUGACGGUACCUAACCAGAAAGCCACGGCUAACUACGUGCCAGCCGCCGCGGUAA
rnacentral:rRNA from 1 species